rnacentral:rRNA from 4 species
UUGACCUCGAAUCAGGUAGGGAUACCCGCUGAACUUAAGCAUAUCAAUAAGCGGAGGAAAAGAAACCAACCGGGAUUACCC